AACGAACGCUGGCGGCAUGCCUAACACAUGCAAGUCGAACGAGACCUUCGGGUCUAGUGGCGCACGGGUGCGUAACGCGUGGGAAUCUGCCCUUGGGUUCGGAAUAACAGUUGGAAACGACUGCUAAUACCGGAUGAUGACGUAAGUCCAAAGAUUUAUCGCCCAAGGAUGAGCCCGCGUAGGAUUAGCUAGUUGGUGAGGUAAAGGCUCACCAAGGCGACGAUCCUUAGCUGGUCUGAGAGGAUGAUCAGCCACACUGGGACUGAGACACGGCCCAGACUCCUACGGGAGGCAGCAGUGGGGAAUAUUGGACAAUGGGCGAAAGCCUGAUCCAGCAAUGCCGCGUGAGUGAUGAAGGCCUUAGGGUUGUAAAGCUCUUUUACCCGGGAUGAUAAUGACAGGACCGGGAGAAUAAGCUCCGGCUAACUCCGU
rnacentral:rRNA from 1 species